rnacentral:rRNA from 1 species
CCUACGGGAGGCAGCAGUGGGGAAUAUUGGGCAAUGGGCGCAAGCCUGACCCAGCAACGCCGCGUGAAGGAAGAAGGCUUUCGGGUUGUAAACUUCUUUUAAGGGGGAAGAGCAGAAGACGGUACCCCUUGAAUAAGCCACGGCUAACUACGUGCCAGCAGCCGCGGUAAUACGUAGGUAGCAAGCGUUGUCCGGCUUUACUGGGUGUAAAGGGCGUGCAGCCGGGGAGACAAGUCAGAUGUGAAAUCCACGGGCUCAACCCGUGAAUUGCAUUGGAAACUGGUUCCCUUGAGUGUCGGAGAGGUAAGCGGAAUUCCAUGUGAAGCGGUGAAAUGCGUAGAUAUAAGGAAGAACACCAGAGGCGAAGGCGGAUUACUGGACGAUAACUGACGGUGAGGCGCGAAAGCGUGGGGAGCAAACAGGAUUAGAUACCCGGGUAGUC